UGCUAUACUGCAGUCGAACGCUUUUUCUUUCACCGGAGCUUGCUCCACCGAAAGAAAAAGAGUGGCGAACGGGUGAGUAACACGUGGGUAACCUGCCCAUCAGAAGGGGAUAACACUUGGAAACAGGUGCUAAUACCGUAUAACACUAUUUUCCGCAUGGAAGAAAGUUGAAAGGCGCUUUUGCGUCACUGAUGGAUGGACCCGCGGUGCAUUAGCUAGUUGGUGAGGUAACGGCUCACCAAGGCCACGAUGCAUAGCCGACCUGAGAGGGUGAUCGGCCACACUGGGACUGAGACACGGCCCAGACUCCUACGGGAGGCAGCAGUAGGGAAUCUUCGGCAAUGGACGAAAGUCUGACCGAGCAACGCCGCGUGAGUGAAGAAGGUUUUCGGAUCGUAAAACUCUGUUGUUAGAGAAGAACAAGGAUGAGAGUAGAACGUUCAUCCCUUGACGGUAUCUAACCAGAAAGCCACGGCUAACUACGUGCCAGCAGCCGCGGUAAUACGUAGGUGGCAAGCGUUGUCCGGAUUUAUUGGGCGUAAAGCGAGCGCAGGCGGUUUCUUAAGUCUGAUGUGAAAGCCCCCGGCUCAACCGGGGAGGGUCAUUGGAAACUGGGAGACUUGAGUGCAGAAGAGGAGAGUGGAAUUCCAUGUGUAGCGGUGAAAUGCGUAGAUAUAUGGAGGAACACCAGUGGCGAAGGCGGCUCUCUGGUCUGUAACUGACGCUGAGGCUCGAAAGCGUGGGGAGCGAACAGGAUUAGAUACCCUGGUAGUCCACGCCGUAAACGAUGAGUGCUAAGUGUUGGAGGGUUUCCGCCCUUCAGUGCUGCAGCAAACGCAUUAAGCACUCCGCCUGGGGAGUACGACCGCAAGGUUGAAACUCAAAGGAAUUGACGGGGGCCCGCACAAGCGGUGGAGCAU
rnacentral:rRNA from 1 species